UCCACUAGGCAGGAAAAGGAACACAGAGUACUAGAAUUCCCAACUUUGCCUGUCAGCUAAGCUGUAGAAUGCACUUGUGCAUUCAUAAAGGAAAUAUUUGAUUGCUUAUAAUUUACCCAGUGUUGUAGUAGGAGCCAAACACAAAGCAGUGAACUAAGUAGACACUGUCUUCCAAAACCAGUCUCAUUGGAUCCCUCAGAGGUACAGGUUACCCCUGCUAUCUGAAAAUUCACUUUACAGCACUUCACUUUUACGAAAGACCUUUUACUAACCAAAAGAAAUCCGAAGAUUUUCACUUCUAUGAAAGAAGGCAAAAAGCAAAAACAGUGUUCAGUGUUUGUUUUGCAGCGAGCCAUUAUAGUGGCUAAGCAGUCAAACAUAUGGUCGCAACUCAAGCCUGAAAGAUCAGGCACAGCGGACUACUAACCUUGCCCUUCGACUGGAGGCAAGCAGAUGUAGAAGGUGUAGAUGUUGGUGACCUGCCUGGACUGAUGGAUUCAGACAGUGACGGGAUGUUAACAGAUAACCCUCUUCCUCUCUCUCCUACACCCUGGGCUCCUGUACCUCCCACCACUUCAACCUCUGACGGCUCAGCCUAACACACCACCAUCACCACCACCACCUCUCAGCCUUCCAGUGUGCUCACACUCUUCCCGAUUCUGACUCCCCUUCUCACAAUUGCCUCAGUCUCCUGGGUUCUCACUCCAAAUCCUGCACCAAGCUCAUUGCCUUUUCAGUGCUUUCUGGAUGACAUGUUCUCACCCAGCCUUGGAUUUCCCUUUGCACAUGGGUCAGACAUUGCUUCAGCUCCAGGAUCUUCUCCUUGAAUGCAGCUUGGGCUGCAGCCAUCAACAGCAGGGCUCCUGGAGCUGGAUGAAAGCCUUAUGAGGCCCAGAACUUGCUGAUAACUGGAGAAUCUAAAGAGCUGGGGGGAGAUCUCCAACAUGCCAACCUCUCUGAGAGGUCAGCUUCUGCCGUGAGCCAACAGAGAGAAUGUGAGCCAUAAAGAGGAAUUCAACUGAAACUGAGGCUGAUCUGUGGCCCCAAAUUCAGUUCCUACAACUCUGAGGAAUCACCUCCAGCUACUCCUCUCUGAUAAAAACUUCACUCUGGAAGGAGAAAGAUGUCAAUGUGAGAGUUCAUUUCUACUUCACUUUCUAAGUGUAAGAAAGAAGGUAUAAAUUUAUUCUCUGUUCAAAUCAGCUUGGUCUAUGAGACAGUGUUACCUAAUAGAAAUAGCAGACUUUGACCAUCAGGUGGAUCUGGUCUCCAGUUCCACCUGAGCUCCACACUAACUGGUAUUGGGAAAAUUGUUCAACUUCUCUAAGCCUCUUUUUCUCAUCUGAGAGUAACAGCUACCUUGCAGGAGAGAGAAAAAGAUUAUUAUGCUAUUUGUAAAGUCUCUAGCCCAGUGCUUGGCACCCAGAAAGUGCAGUUAAUGGUCUGCGGUGGUAGCAAGACAAACUCCAUUUCACGGGAACUUCUUCAUGGCAUACCUCACUACUUGACAUGUACAUAUAGGGUCAAUAUCUGUCAUCUUCUGCAAGAACGUAAGGUUCUUGGGGAGCAGGGAAUUUGUUUUGUUCAUUGUUGAAUCACAGCACCUGAAAUAGUCUCUGCUGCUAAAUAAAUAUCUGGUGAAUGAAUGGGUGAAAACAUAUAAGGAAAACUGGGGUCAUCAGACCUGAUUAAUUGACUGGGUGUCAAGUACUUAAGCAUUAUAGACAAUACAAAUGGAGACUAAGACUGGGUUCUGGGUGACAUGUCUCUGACAUCUGUCUCCCCUUCAUUUCCACUACUAUGGCUCUAGGGCAGGAUUCCUGAACCUUGGCACUAUUGAUAUUUCGGGCUGGACAGGUCUUUGUUGUGUGUUUGUGUGGGUGGUGUCCUAUGCAGCCAAGGAUGUUUAGCUACAUUCCUGGCCUCCACCCACCACAUGUGAGUAGCACCCGCCUUGUGUGACAACAAAAUUGACUCCGGACAUUGGGAAAUGUCUUUGAGCAGCAAAAUCGCCCCUGGUUGAGAACCACUGGUCUAGGGACAUGUCAUUAGCCCAGGCUGGUGCAAGAGACUUCCAUCUGUCCACCUGGCCUGCCUACAGAGAUCUCAACUUCUGGACUUUCUACAAAUCUAAUCCAAUGGUAACUCCUCUGCUCAAAGCCUUCAAGACUUCUUGUUGCCACUGAAAUAAGCCAAGAUCUCCAAGCUUGCAAGGCUCUCCCUGCCAUUCAGGGCCCAACCUACCCCUCCAGCCUCACUGCCCUCAGUACACAGUCCAGCAUGGGCGAACUGGUUCCAGGUCCUGCCUUAGUACCUUUGCCCACUGAACUUUCCCUGUCUAGAACACUCUUUCCCCAAGACCUGACUCAUUCCUUCCAUAGAAACUGAACACAAGGGGCUGCCGGUCUUCAUCUCUCCCAACCACGGGAGGAAGAGGACCUGAGCCUAGGUUGACAAAUGUAGAAAUACGGAAAAUUUUAUGCCCUCAAGGAGUGCACCAUCAAAGAAGGCAAGAGAACCCACAGCAUCACCACCACCUUCUUGAAGCCUCCUAACGCUUUGAACUCCUUGGCGCUGUCUGUAACUCUCUCUUAGGGCGCCUUAUCCUGCUCCACCUAACACCAGAAUUUGUUUCUGACGGGUUCAUCUCCUCCACGAGUUCGAGGCUCUCUGAGGGCAAGGAGGGCGUCAGUAUUGUCUUCGUGGCGCCACCGCCCAGCACAAGGGCGCACAACGACGCAACAGAGGCUCGGCGAACGAGCGUUGUAUUACGUAAACCGCAGGGCAAGAGGCUCCGAGCCUCUCAAAGGAGUCCUCACGGGAGACGGAACGGACCCGGCACCUCGUCCCCACGCCUCCCCAGACAGAGGGAGGAGGUCCCGGUCCAUGGCCACUCCGAGUCUUCACGUCGGGGACUCAGGGGACUAGACGAGAGCGGCAGGGUGGAGGGCAGAGCCGCAGCGCCCCCGCCGGCCCCGCCAGGAUAAGCCUUUCCAACACACAAGACUCACGAGCCUCGCCACCUUUCCAACGCCCUACGCCAGAAGCAGCCCCGGGGCACGCCAGGACCUCCACAAGGCCAGACGCAUGCACAAGGGCUACGCAAGCGACGCACUGAAGGACCUCCCGGUAAACUGGUUUCGGCCCCUCGCUAAUCGACUGCAAUCUUCGCCAAUGAGAACGCAGGGUCCUCUUUGUGUGAUACCCGCGUGCCACUCCCGCUCUUCGACAACCCAAAGCCUGGAUGUGGCCGUUGGUUAAUCCCGCUUAUUGGUUUACUUGUGGUCUCUUUGGAGGCGCUUCCGCUUGUGGUGCUUCGAUGUGUCUUUGUGUCAACGGUGCCUGGAGUCACACCGUGUUUUACAGACGUGACAGCGACAAUAAUGAAAAAACGUAACGCUCCCUGUGUGCUUGGCACAGUUCUAAACAAGUGCAUACUAAUUCGUCCUCACAGCAGUCCUAUGAGGUCAAUAUUAUUACUCUUUUCAUCUUCCAGACAAGGAAACCGAGACAGAUUGUCUAAUGACAGGCGUAGGACAAGAACUCGCUUCUAACCCAACGUUUUUUCCUGUGUUUUUAUUUUUUAACAUUCCGUCAGUACCGCAAAACAUUCUCACCUAAAGAUGAAAUCUCUCCAUCCCGCAUCUCCCAAAC